CAGACUACCUCUGAUGUAGAGAGUAGAAGUGGAGAGAGAAAAGAGAGAGAGAGAAUUUGAGGAGAUCCUGUGCUCUUCAAUGCUCCUCAAUGCAGACUGGCGCCGCGCGACGUUCGACACCCAUGCUCAGUCGUGUCCACCACCCGUGCCCAUCAACUGAUCGUCGUCAUCACCAUCAUACUAUUCACUCUUUUUCUUCUUACCCUGAACAAUUCCAAUAUAUUCAUUUGCCACCUCGAUCUCGAUCCCAUUGUCGAUCGUAUCCGUCCAUCCGCGUAUUGGUGCAUCUUCUUCCGACUUCAAUUACACUUUGUUCACCAGAUGCAGCAAUCAUCUACAAUGGAUAAAUAUUUCUACAAGAAGUAAUUGAAGAAUUUUAUGAAGAAAAACUAAAAUAAUUCAAAUUUCACGUGAUUACAAUUUAAUUGAAUUUCUUUGGAAUAAUUAUUGUGCCAGAAAGAAAGACUUGAUGGUGAUAAUGACGAAGCUGACGGUGGGCUUUUUAAUUUUAUCAAUAAUCACUAUAGCGUACAGUAACGCUGUAGCGAUUGGUGGUCCAGUUCAAUCGACAGACGAUGAUGAAUAUACAAGACAUUAUGAUAACACAAGAUAUUCAAUAUUCGAUAAGCCUUACACAGUUGAUUUCAAAUACCAUAACUACGACCAAAUGAGUCGUUUUUUGAGAACAACAUCAUUACGCUUUGAAAAUCUCACUGCCCUUUAUUCAAUCGGAAAAUCCGUUCAAGGACGUGAUUUGUGGGUGAUGGUCGUGUCUGCUUCACCUUAUGAGCAUAUGAUUGGUAAACCAGAUGUUAAAUAUGUAGCAAAUAUUCAUGGUAAUGAAGCCGUAGGUCGUGAACUUAUGUUGCAUCUUAUUCAUUUAUUAGUAACUAAUUAUGGGACAGAUCCGUACAUUACAUGGUUGCUAAAUAAUACUAGAAUCCAUAUUCUUCCGUCCAUGAAUCCUGAUGGUUUUCAAGUUUCAAAAGAAGGCUAUUGUGAAGGCAGUCAAGGCCGGUACAAUGCUCUUGGUUAUGACUUAAAUCGUAAUUUUCCGGACUAUUUCAAGCAGAAUAAUAAGAAGAGCCAACCAGAAACAGAAGCUGUAAAAGAGUGGGUGUCGAAAAUUCAGUUCGUGUUGUCUGGAAGUUUUCACGGUGGUGCUCUUGUGGCUAGUUAUCCCUUCGAUAACACACCAAACUCGCUGUUCCAGAGUUAUUCAUCAAUACCAAGCAUUUCUCCAGACGAUGACGUAUUUCGUCAUCUCUCGUUGACCUAUUCACAAAAUCAUGGUACUAUGUACCGAGGUGAAGCUUGCUCUCCUUCUCAACGUGGCUUUAAAAACGGAAUCACGAAUGGCGCCGAAUGGUAUCCAUUGACUGGAGGGAUGCAAGAUUUUAAUUAUGUGUGGAAUGGAUGCAUGGAGAUUACCUUUGAAUUAUCCUGCUGCAAAUACCCACCAGCUAAAGACUUGCCACGAUAUUGGGAAGAAAAUCGAUUGGCACUACUUAAAUUUUUAGCUGAAGCCCACAGAGGUGUUCACGGAUUUGUUAUUGAUGAAAACGGAAAUCCUAUAGAAAGAGCAUCAGUAAAAGUUAAAGGACGAGAUAUCAGUUUUCUCACGACGAAAUACGGAGAAUUCUGGAGAAUUCUUUUACCUGGAGUCUACAGACUUGAGGUUUAUGCCAACGGUUAUACACCCCGCGAAAUGGAAUUUAUGGUAAUAGACAAGCAUCCAACUCGACUCAAUGUCACGUUGUACAGUACCAAGAAUUGGAAUAUUGACGAUGAGGAUGAUAUUAAUGAUGAUGAUGAUGAUGAUGAGGAUGAUGAAAAUGAUGAUAAUAUUCAUGAUAUUGAUAAUAUUGGUGAUGGUUGGCACCAAAGCGAAAUGAUCACUGGAACAGGCAUAACACGAAUUUCUACUGAUCAACGGCACACUCCAAUAUCUGCAUGGCCCUUGGAUUAUGACUUCCCGGUACAGGAUCCUGUCGACACCGAAUCCAUUAUGUUUCCUUCAUCCUAAUAACAAAAUCAAUAUAACCAAUAAACCUUUGUAGUAGCUGUUCAACCUGUACUAUUUACUAAUUAUUUAUUGUUUAGUUUGGUCCAUGUUAAUCCUUAAUUGAUCUGAAUCACGAUGCACUAUUUUUUAUAGUUCAUCCUAUUAAUUUUUCUCUUAUUGCUAUCAAUUAUCGACAAGAUGAUGCUAAUGAUGGACAAUAUUAUGGAGGUGGUAAUGGAGGAGUUCGCCCGUACCCUCAUCGUGACUACAGCCUUCACGUUCGUCCAAGUGGAUCAUCGACCUAUUCCACCACUUCAAACUCAAAUAAUG
rnacentral:misc_RNA from 1 species